rnacentral:lncRNA from 1 species
GAACACCUAAAACCAAAUGUAGCACCCCCUUUUAUAACAAACCAAGGCACACUAAAACAUCUCUUGGCGCUGACUCUUCUUACGUGGGGUUUGUUUUGGUUUCCAUGAAGAAUAAAUCCUCCAUGUAACUAAAUUGUGGCAUGGAAGAAGUUUAAUAGUAGGACUCUUCAUUCCUACAUUCAGAAGCCAAGGCACCAUCUGAAGGCAUGUACCAUAAG